AAAAAAAAGAGGCUGGAGGUGGGCAGAGGGGAAGCUGGAGCUGAGGGACACCACUGGUGGCCAGUUGGAGGAACUCCCACCUAUACUGGUGACUACAUCAAAGUCUUCAGUGGGGAGGAGGGUCCUGUGAGAAGAAGAGCCAGUAAUUGUGCAUCUCCGCAUUGAGACCUACUUUCAGAUUAUAACUCCUCCGGUGUUGGAGGACUUCGAUGUCAUUACCUGUUUUCCCUUUCAGUCCUGGAAGGAGCCAGAAGCAGCAGAGGACACCAGGGAUGAGGUUGAGGCCUGGAAGCAUUCUGUGGCUCUGAAAUGUAAUCGGGAGAGGGAAGUGGUGAGAAGGGAAGGAGAAGGAGAGAAGGAGACAGAUAUGGAGAGAGACGGCAGAGAGCCACGUAAUGAUGGAAGGACCUAAAGGUAAAAGGAACAUGGGAUGGAAGCAGACAGACAUACUAAGUAAAAUUUGCCCUGCUAAAAAGUCAGAUCGUCUUGGUCCCGUCUUGCUCCUCCUCCUUCCCAGACCAGGUGCCAUUUCCUAAGCACACUGGACGCUCUCACAAGCUGGCACUUUUGAUGAUGUAUCUUUCUGCCCAGGACACCAUUCCCUUCACUUUCUUGACAUUUCCAACUGCCAGAAACCCAGGAACUGGUUCUGGUAGCUUUCUCCAAAACCCACAGAUAGGAUGAGUGCUUCUCUCUUCUGAACACCCACAUCUCUUUGGAAAUACCCCUGUCGUGGCCGUUAUUCCAAUCUGCCUGAUGAGAAGCAGGUGUCUGUCCCAGUAGACGGUGAGCUCUUUGCCGGUGGGCGGGCAAGCGUCUUAAUCACUUUGUGCUCUUUCCAGCUAGGCACAGCCCCUGAAGAGUCCAGCAGCAAAGACUGAGAUGCCUUUUGCCAGUUGUCGUGUUUUACAGCUUCCCUUCCUUUGCUAAGACAUUACCACUAGAGCCCGACGGGCAUGGGUUAGGCGUUUCCAUCCCACGAGAAACCAGACAGGGCAUGGUUGUAGAUUAAUUUUAUAUCUCAUAUAGGGCUUAUAUUACAUCAUGAUAAUAUUUUCAGCCUUGUUACUUUGAAGUGCCUCUGGCACAGACUAGAAGACGCCCACUUGUCAAGUCCAAAGGAGGUAGGAAAAUUUGUGCCUGGAUACUGUCAGUGGUGUGGUAGGGAGGCGGCUCACCUGAAGAGACAGGUGCAUCACAGGUGGUUGUCACCAUGCUUGACUGUGGAUACAGC
rnacentral:lncRNA from 1 species